rnacentral:rRNA from 1 species
GGUUAAGCUACUAAGAGCACACGGAGGAUGCCUAGGCGCUAGGAGCCGAAGAAGGACGUGGCGAACAACGAUACUGCCUCGGGGAGCUGUAAGCAAGCUUCGAUCCGGGGAUGUCCGAAUGGGGAAACCCAGCUAGUGUAAUAGCUAGUUACCCGUAUCUGAAUACAUAGGAUGCGAGGAGGCAUACCCAGGGAACUGAAACAUCUAAGUACCUGGAGGAAGAGAAAACAAGAGUGAUUCCGUCAGUAGCGGCGAGCGAACGCGGAACAGCCUAAACCAGAGAGCUUGCUCUCUGGGGUUGUGGGACGUCUCACAUGGAGUUACAAAGGAAUUUAUUAGGCGAAGAGGUCUGGAAAGGCCCGCUAUAAGAGGUAAAAGCCCUGUAGCCGAAAGUAUAUUCCCUCCGAGACGGAUCCCGAGUAGUGCGGGGCACGUGAAACCCCGUAUGAAUCCAGCAGGACCAUCUGCUAAGGCUAAAUACUCCCUAGCGACCGAUAGUGAAGCAGUACCGUGAGGGAAAGGUGAAAAGCACCCCGGAAGGGGAGUGAAAUAGAACCUGAAACCGUGUGCUUACAAGAAGUCAGAGCCCGAUCUAUGGGUGAUGGCGUGCCUUUUGUAGAAUGAACCGGCGAGUUACGUUCCCAUGCAAGGUUAAGGCGAGAAGCCGUAGCCGCAGCGAAAGCGAGUCUGAAUAGGGCGAUUUAGUAUGUGGGCGUAGACCCGAAACCGUGUGAUCUACCCCUGUCCAGGGUGAAGGUGCGGUAACACGCACUGGAGGCCCGAACCCACGUAUGUUGAAAAAUGCGGGGAUGAGGUGGGGGUAGCGGAGAAAUUCCAAUCGAACUCGGAGAUAGCUGGUUCUCCCCGAAAUAGCUUUAGGGCUAGCCUCGGAAUGAAGAGUCGUGGAGGUAGAGCACUGAUUGGGUGCGGGGCCCGCAAGGGUUACCAAGCUCAGUCAAACUCCGAAUGCCAUAGACUUAUAUCCGGGAGUCAGACAGUGAGUGCUAAGAUCCAUUGUCAAAAGGGAAACAGCCCAGACCAUCAGCUAAGGUCCCCAAGUGUGUGUUAAGUGGGAAAGGAUGUGGAGUUGCACAGACAACCAGGAUGUUGGCUUAGAAGCAGCCACCAUUUAAAGAGUGCGUAAUAGCUCACUGGUCGAGUGACUCUGCGCCGAAAAUGUAACGGGGCUAAACACACCACCGAAGCUAUGGCUUGAUGCGUAUGCAUCAGGGGUAGGGGAGCGUUGUAUGUAGGUUGAAGGUGUACCGUAAGGAGCGCUGGACAGCAUACAAGUGAGAAUGCCGGUAUGAGUAACGAAAAGAUCAGUGAGAAUCUGAUCCGCCGAAAGCCCAAGGUUUCCUGAGGAAGGCUCGUCCGCUCAGGGUAAGUCGGGACCUAAGGUGAGGCCGAAAGGCGUAAUCGAAGGACAACAGGUUGAAAUUCCUGUACCACCGUAAACCGUUAUGAACGAUGGGGUGACGCAGGAGGGUAGUGACGCGGACUGAUGGAUGUCCGUCCAAGCAGUGAGGCUGAUGUGUAGGCAAAUCCGCACAUCGAUAAGGCUGGGCUGUGAUGGGGAGUGAAAAUUAUAGUAGCGAAGGUCAUGAUCUCACACUGCCAAGAAAAGCCUCUAGUCAGGUGAAGGUGCCCGUACCGCAAACCGACACAGGUAGGCGAGAAGAGAAUUCUAAGGCGCGCGGAAGAACUCUCGUUAAGGAACUCGGCAAAAUGACCCCGUAACUUCGGGAGAAGGGGUGCCUCGGUAGGGUGAAUAGCCCGAGGGGGCCGCAGUGAAAAGGCCCAAGCGACUGUUUAGCAAAAACACAGGUCUGUGCGAAGCCGUAAGGCGAAGUAUACGGGCUGACGCCUGCCCGGUGCUGGAAGGUUAAGGGGAGCGGUUAGGGGUUAAACCCGAAGCUGUGAACCGAAGCCCCAGUAAACGGCGGCCGUAACUAUAACGGUCCUAAGGUAGCGAAAUUCCUUGUCAGGUAAAUUCUGACCCGCACGAAUGGCGUAACGACUUGGGCGCUGUCUCAACGAGAGAUCCGGUGAAAUUUUAAUACCUGUGAAGAUGCAGGUUACCCGCGACAAGACGGAAAGACCCCAUGGAGCUUUACUGCAGCUUGAUAUUGGAUUUGGGUACGAUCUGUACAGGAUAGGUGGGAGCCUUUGAAGCAUGAGCGCCAGCUUGUGUGGAGGCGACGUUGGGAUACCACCCUGAUCGUAUCUAGGUUCUAACCUAGUACCGUAAUCCGGUACGGGGACAGUGUCAGGCGGGCAGUUUGACUGGGGCGGUCGCCUCCUAAAGAGUAACGGAGGCGCCCCAAGGUUCCCUCAGAAUGGUUGGAAAUCAUUCGAAGAGUGCAAAGGCAUAAGGGAGCUUGACUGCGAGACCUACAAGUCGAGCAGGGACGAAAGUCGGGCUUAGUGAUCCGGUGGUACCGCAUGGAAGGGCCAUCGCUCAACGGAUAAAAGCUACCCUGGGGAUAACAGGCUUAUCUCCCCCAAGAGUCCACAUCGACGGGGAGGUUUGGCACCUCGAUGUCGGCUCAUCGCAUCCUGGGGCUGAAGUAGGUCCCAAGGGUUGGGCUGUUCGCCCAUUAAAGCGGUACGCGAGCUGGGUUCAGAACGUCGUGAGACAGUUCGGUCCCUAUCUGUCGUGGGCGUAGGAAAUUUGAGAGGAGCUGUCCUUAGUACGAGAGGACCGGGAUGGACGUACCGCUGGUGCACCAGUUGUUCCGCCAGGAGCAUGGCUGGGUAGCUACGUACGGACGGGAUAAGCGCUGAAAGCAUCUAAGCGUGAAGCCCCCCUCAAGAUGAGAUUUCCCAGUAUGUAAGACCCCUUGAAGACGACGAGGUAGAUAGGUUGGAGGUGGAAGUGCAGCAAUGCAUGGAGCUGACCAAUACUAAUCGGUCGAGGGCUUAUCCAA